GCUAGUGUAGCACAGCCGGUAGUGCAGCUGAUUCGUAAUCAGCAGGUCGCGUGUUCGAGUCACGUCACUAGCUCCA
rnacentral:tRNA from 1 species